rnacentral:rRNA from 1 species
UUUAGAUCAUGGCUCAAAUUGAACGCUGGGGGAAUGCCUCCUUUUUGAAAGUCGAACGGUAACGGGCCUUCGGGUGCCGACAAGUGGCGAACGGGUGAGUAAUGUAUCGAAACGUGCCUUGUAGGGGGGGAUAACGUACCGAAAGUUACGCUAAUACCGCAUAUUGCCUGGGUGUAGCACCCCGAGGUGAAAGGGGGGGAUCGUAAAACCUCUCGCUGCAAGAGCGGCCGAUACCGGAUUAGCUAGUUGGGGGGGUAAAGGCCUACCAAGGCGACAAUCCGUAGCUGGUCUGAAAGGACAACCAGCCACACUGGGACUGAAACACGGCCCAAACUCCUACGGGAGGCUUUUUUGGGAAAUUUUGGACAAUGGGGGCAACCUUGAUCCAGCCAUGCCGCGUGUGCAAAAAAGGCCUUCGGGUUGUAAAGCACUUUUGUCAGGAACGAAAAGGGUGCCACUAUUACUGGUAUCUGAUGACGGUCCCUGAAAAAUAAGCCCCGGUUAACUACGUGCCAGC